rnacentral:lncRNA from 1 species
CAAAACCAAAAUCCCUAAAUCAGCCACUGUUCCUCUUCUCCAAACACGUGAAUCCAGUCCCAAGUCAUCCAAAUCCAUGGGGAAUGAAUUCAAACCCACAACCAUGCGUUCCUCCUUCUCUCAUCUCGCGAUUUCUAACGGUUUUUGACACCAAAGAUUCUCACCCCUCUCACUCGCCUAAUUUUGAGCGAUCUCACAAAAUUAAAAGGUCCUAGAGGCGAUUCGUUGGAUGUAUGUGGGGCAUUGGAUUGAUUUCAUUCAAUCCGAGCCCCACAUUCAUCAAGGGUUCGUUUCAUAAAGGAUUGGAUCCAUUUUUGAGAAGAGGGUAUUUUUUCGGAGAGGCAAAAAGUUUGAAGGUUCUUUAUUUUCUCUUCAGGUUGGUACUGCAUUUAAAAAAAAGAAACAAAAAUACAAAAAAUAGUUUGGUAUUGAUUGUUACUCUUUUUCAUUACAGAAAAAUACAGAAAAUACACCCAAAUGGUUUGAGUUUUUUUUCGAGUUUAGUUCCGUUUUCCUUUGUCAAAACCAGAGAGAAU